GAGGGAGGUCCGACCAGUAAGGACUGCUAAUUCUUACCUCUGAGCCUAAAAUCUCAGCCCUCUUA
rnacentral:tRNA from 1 species